AUUGCAUUGUGGAAUAUGCAUCAUUAUUCAAAGAAAGGGAGACAUUUCAAGUACUCACACUUUCUCUCCUUGCUAGCUAAAUUGGCUGACAAGCUAAAGAAGUCAGUGGAGGAUGAAAUUCAUUUUCUCAAGGAAAGGGUUUCAGAACUUGAAAGUGAUCUUGUGUAGAAGUCCACAGAAGUUACAUUUGCAGUUUCAAGGAAAGAAGAAGCUUUAUCUUCUGCAUUUGCUGAAAUUGACCAUCUGAAGGAAGAAAAUUUUGUAAAAACGUGAGCAUUAUUGAAUGCAUAUGGAGGGUGUUUAUUGUGUUGGAGUGUAUUUGUCUCUUGUACAUGAGGGGCACACCUUAGUUGUAAUUCUUAUGAUAGGUUGAGCAAAGUGAGGUAUUGUUUAUUUAGAAAUGUGAAUGUAAGAUGCAUUGUAUGAUUUGAUUGCUAUUUGUAAUAAAUGCAUCAUUUUUUUUCUGAUUGCAUUUUAUGUACUA